CACAGUUCCUACAGGAUCUGGGCCCCAGGGCUGCCUAUCACCUAGGAUCUGCUUGGAGCCAGGGCUCUUCUGGCCAAGCCAAGGCUCACAGUGUCUUCCAGCUACUCCAUGAGUGACACAAACCAAACCAUUGUGGGACCCUCGGAGCUCCCCACGGUACCAGCCAUGACCCCUGGGCCAGGCUCUGGGGCCCGGGCAUGGCCUGUGCUGGUGGGGGUUGUGCUGGGAGCUGUGGUCCUCUCUCUCCUCAUUGCACUUGCUGCCAAAUGCCACCUCUGCUGCAAAUACCGCCUCAGCUAUCAGCAUCGCCCACUGCCCGGGACAAGGAAGGGGAUCUGUCCGGAGGCCGGUGAAGAUGAGGAUGAUGAUGGUUUCAUUGAGGACAAUUACAUUCAGCCUGGGGCCAGCGAGCUGGGGACAGAAGGUAGCAGGCACCAUUUCUCCCUCUGAGCCACGACCUUUGCACACCCUUUGCCUGACAGCUU